CGCGUAGGCGGUUGGGUCAGUCGGAUGUGAAAGCCCCGGGCUUAACCUGGGAAUUGCAUUCGAUACUGCCCAGCUAGAGUAUGGUAGAGGGAAGCGGAAUUCCACAUGUAGCGGUGAAAUGCGUAGAUAUGUGGAGGAACACCAGUGGCGAAGGCGGCUUCCUGGACCAAUACUGACGCUGAGGUGCGAAAGCGUGGGGAGCAAACA
rnacentral:rRNA from 1 species